AACGAACGCUGGCGGCAUGCCUAACACAUGCAAGUCGAACGAGACCUUCGUGUCUAGUGGCGCACGGGGGCGUAACGCGUGGGAACCUGCCCUUAGGUUCGGAAUAACUCCCCGAAAGGGGUGCUAAUACCGGAUAAUGUCUUCGGACCAAAGAUUUAUCGCCUUUGGAUGGGCCCGCGUUGGAUUAGCUAGUUGGUAGGGUAAAAGCCUACCAAGGCGACGAUCCAUAGCUGGUCUGAGAGGAUGAUCAGCCACACUGGGACUGCGACACGGCCCAGACUCCUACGGGAGGCAGCAGUGGGGAAUAUUGGACAAUGGGCGAAAGGCUGAUCCAGCAAUGCCGCGUGAGUGAUGAAGGCCUUAGGGUUGUAAAGCUGUUUUACCCGGGAUGAUAAUGACAGUACCGGGAGAAUAAGCUCCGGCUAACUCCGUG
rnacentral:rRNA from 1 species